rnacentral:rRNA from 1 species
GUAGGGUGCAAGCGUUGUUCGGAAUCACUGGNNNUAAAGCGCGUGUAGGCGGUCCGAUAAGUCGAGUGUGAAACCCCAAGGCUCAACCUUGGAAGUGCAUUCGAAACUGUCGGGCUUGAGUACGGGAGAGGGAAGUGGAAUUCCUGGUGUAGAGGUGAAAUUCGUAGAUAUCAGGAGGAACACCGGUGGCGAAGGCGGCUUCCUGGACCGAUACUGACGCUGAGACNNNNAGCGUGGGGAGCAAACAGGAUUAGAUACCCUGGUAGUCCACGCGUAAACGGUGAGCACUAGGUGUAGCGGGUAUUGACCCCUGCUGUGCCGCACKAACGCAUUAAG